rnacentral:rRNA from 1 species
UACGUAGGGGGCAAGCGUUGUCCGGAAUUACUGGGCGUAAAGGGCGCGUAGGCGGCUUGGUAAGUCGGGGGUGAAAGUCAGCGGCUCAACCGCUGGACUGCCUUCGAGACUGCCUGGCUUGAGCAUGGUAGAGGCUGGCGGAAUUCCCGGUGUAGCGGUGGAAUGCGUAGAGAUCGGGAAGAACAUCGGUGGCGAAGGCGGCCAGCUGGGCCAUUGCUGACGCUGAUGCGCGACAGCGUGGGGAGCAAACAGG